GUGGACCAACAAUACAGUUAAACAAGAUGGACUGUAGGACAGUGCUGCUGCUUUUGACUGUCUGCUGUGCAGGUGUUGAUGGUCAGACUCUGACUCAGUCUGAACCUGUGGUUAAAAGGCCCAGAGAAUCCCACAGACUGACCUGUACAACCUCUGGAUUCACAUUCAGCAGCCACUGGAUGCAUUGGAUCAGACAGGCUCCUGGAAAAGGGCUGGAGUGGAUUGCCCUCAUUUAUACUGAUAGUAGUGGCAUGUUCUACUCUGAUUCUGUCAGAGGCCGGUUUACCAUCUCCAGAGACAACAGCAAACAGCAGCUGUAUCUGCAGAUGAACAGUCUGAAGACUGAAGAUUCUGCCGUUUAUUAUUGUGCUCGAGACUCACAGUGACUGGAGCUGGUUUGGCAGCUGUACAAAAUCCUACAUCUGUCAGGAGAAAUAAGAAUACACAAUUUUUAGAGCAAAAUACCAACAGAAUUUGGAAUUAAAAGCAUACAUUACAGCUGUCAUCAGAUGACCGUUGUCAGGCUUCAGGGUCAAAGGGGGGACUGCAGCUUAUCCCACCUGCCAUAGGGUGAGAGAUUGGGUACACCCUGGACAGUUCAUGAGGCUGUUGCAGGGGUAACAUACAAGAAUGAAAACCAUUUACACCUAUGGGCAAUUUAAAAUCACCAACUGACCUAACUCCACUAACUGCAUGUCAUUGGGUUGUGGGAGGAAGCCUGAAUACCCAAAGAGAACAUGAUGAAAGAGAACAUUGAUGCCAUCUGAGGCAUCAAUACUCAACUCAAGGGUUGUGCAGCCUGGACAGUCUUUGACCAUCACCUUUCAGGUCUCUUGUUAUUCUUUGACUGAUAGCAGCUUU